rnacentral:rRNA from 1 species
GAUGAACGCUGGCGGCGUGCCUAAUACAUGCAAGUCGAGCGAAUGGAUUAAGAGCUUGAUCUUAUGAAGUUAGCGGCGGACGGGUGAGUAACACAUGGGUAACCUGCCCAUAAGACUGGGAUAACUCCGGGAAACCGGGGCUACUACCGGAGAACAUUUUGAACCGCAUGGGUCGAAAUUGAAAGGCGGCUUCGGCUGUCACUGAUGGAUGGACCCGCGUCGCAUUAGCUAGUUGGUGAGGUAACGGCUCACCAAGGCAACGAUGCGUGGCCGACCUGAGAGGGUGAUCGGCCACACUGGGACUGAGACACGGCCCAGACUCCUACGGGAGGCAGCAGUAGGGAAUCUUCCGCAAUGGACGAAAGUCUGACGGAGCAACGCCGCGUGAGUGAUGAAGGCUUUCGGGUCGUAAAACUCUGUUGUUAGGGAAGAACAAGUGCUAGUUGAAUAAGCUGGCACCUUGACGGUACCUAACCAGAAAGCCACGGCUAACUACGUGCCAGCAGCCGCCGUAA